rnacentral:sRNA from 1 species
AGCUGAUGCACUUGAUGACUCCUCCCAGUGCCAUCGUGUCAGCUGUUCCCCUCUGGAGGUUAUUGACCUUCACAUCUUACAGGGCCCUGGUUGACCAGUGGCCCUAUUUU